GGGUCAGUGGGUUGGUCGUGCCACCGGUACGUACUGGACUCACUGAUUCCUCCUUCCUGAAGAACCGUAAUGCCAUUAAUUUGGUGUUGCGGGGAAACAGGACUGUUACUUUGAAAAAAUUAGAGUGUUUAAAGCAAGCUAACGCUUGAAUACAUUAGCAUGGAAUAAUGAAAUAGGACGAUCGAUCCUAUUUUGUUGGUUUCUAGGAUUGACGUA
rnacentral:rRNA from 1 species